GCUACUAUGGCCGAGUGGUUAAGGCAUUGGACUUAAAAUCCAAUGGACAGAAGUCUUCCUGGUUUCGAACCCCAGUGGUUGCA